rnacentral:rRNA from 1 species
ACGCGCGGAACCUUACCAGCCCUUGACAUGGCAGGACGGCUUCCGGAGACGGAUUCCUUCCCUUCGGGGACCUGCACACAGGUGCUGCAUGGCUGUCGUCAGCUCGUGUCGUGAGAUGUUGGGUUAAGUCCCGCAACGAGCGCAACCCUCGCCCCUAGUUGCCAUCAUUCAGUUGGGCACUCUAGGGGACUGCCGGUGAUAAGCCGAGAGGAAGGUGGGGAUGACGUCAAGUCCUCAUGGCCCUUACGGG